UCCGCCUUGGUGUAAUGGCAGCACAUCAGCCUUUGGAGCUGUGGGGUCCGGGUUCGAAUCCUGGAGGCGGAGCCG
rnacentral:tRNA from 1 species